rnacentral:rRNA from 1 species
GGAUUAGAUACCCUAUUAUUUUAGAAUAAAAGAUUGUAAGUAAAUAUUAAUUACGAAAGCAAAAAAUUAUGGCGGUAUUUUAAGCUUUUCAGAGGAAUUUGCUCUUUAAUGGAUAAAACACCUAGAUCUUACUUAAAUUAGCGCUUUUCAGUUUGUAUACCACUAUUAUAAUAAUAAUUUAUUAUUAUUAUUAAUAUUCUUGCAUUUAGAAAAAAAUUAAGUCAAGGUGCAGCAUAAAUUUAUGAAUGAAGUGAAUUACAUUUCUUUUAAGAAAAAAAAAUUGAAAUAAAACGUUUAGGAUUUGAUAGUAAAAUUAAAAUACAAAGUUAAUUUGAAUUAAGCUCUAAAAUAUGUACAUAUCGCCCGUCACUCUUUAUUAAGAUAAGUCGUUACAU